ACUCCUACGGGAGGCAGCAGUGGGGAAUAUUGCACAAUGGGGGAAACCCUGAUGCAGCCAUGCCGCGUGUGUGAAGAAGGCCUUCGGGUUGUAAAGCACUUUCAGUAGGGAGGAAGGUAGUGUAGUUAACACCUGCAUUAUUUGACGUUACCUACAGAAGAAGCACCGGCUAACUCCGUGCCAGCAGCCGCGGUAAUACGGAGGGUGCGAGCGUUAAUCGGAAUUACUGGGCGUAAAGCGCAUGCAGGCGGCCUGUUAAGUCAGAUGUGAAAGCCCGGGGGCUUAACCUCGGAAUUGCAUUUGAAACUGGCAGGCUAGAGUCUUGUAGAGGGGGGUAGAAUUUCAGGUGUAGCGGUGAAAUGCGUAGAGAUCUGAAGGAAUACCAGUGGCGAAGGCGGCCCCCUGGACAAAGACUGACGCUCAGAUGCGAAAAGCGUGGGGGAGCAAAACAGGAUUAGAUACCCUGGUAGCACAGAG
rnacentral:rRNA from 1 species